rnacentral:rRNA from 1 species
GACGAACGCUGGCGGCGUGCUUAACACAUGCAAGUCGAACGGAAAGGCCCUGCUUUUGUGGGGUGCUCGAGUGGCGAACGGGUGAGUAACACGGGAGUAACCUGCCCUUGACUUUGGGAUAACUUCAGGAAACUGGGGCUAAUACCGGAUAGGAGCUCCUGCUGCAUGGUGGGGGUUGGAACGUUUCGGCGGUUGGGGAUGGACUCGCGGCUUAUCAGCUGGUUGGUGGGGUAGUGGCUUACCAAGGCUUUGACGGGUAGCCGGCCUGAGAGGGUGACCGGCCACAUUGGGACUGAGAUACGGCCCAGACUCCUACGGGAGGCAGCAGUGGGGAAUAUUGCACAAUGGGCGGAAGCCUGAUGCAGCAACGCCGCGUGCGGGAUGACGGCCUUCGGGUUGUAAACCGCUUUCGCCUGUGACGAAGCGUGAGUGACGGUAAUGGGUAAAGAAGCACCGGCUAACUACGUG